CUGUUGUAGCCUGCGUAUGUUUUAUUUGGUAGUUGUAACUAAAAUCGAAUCUAUCAUAAGACACACGCGGCUAUCACAG
rnacentral:pre_miRNA from 1 species